AUGAACGCUGGCGGCGUGGAUAAGGCAUGCAAGUCGGACGAUUUCCUUUUUGAAGAAGAUGCGAUUACAUCAAGUCAACUGAUAUUUUGGGGAUAGUGGCGAACGAGCUAGUAACACCUUGGUACGUACCCAAAAGUUUGGUAUAGCUCGCCGAAAGGCGGGGUAAUCCCAAAUAAUCCCUCUAUCUAUCGGAUAGAAGGGUAAAGUCGCAAGACGCUUUUGGAGCGGCCUAGGACCGAUCAGUUAGUUGGUGAGGUAAUGGCUCACCAAGACGAUGACCGGUAGGGG
rnacentral:rRNA from 1 species